UACGGGGGGGGGCAAGCGUUGUUCGGAAUUACUGGGCGUAAAGGGCUCGUAGGCGGCCAACUAAGUCAGACGUGAAAUCCCUCGGCUUAACCGGGGAACUGCGUCUGAUACUGGAUGGCUUGAGGUUGGGAGAGGGAUGCGGAAUUCCAGGUGUAGCGGUGAAAUGCGUAGAUAUCUGGAGGAACACCGGUGGCGAAGGCGGCAUCCUGGACCAAUUCUGACGCUGAGGGAGCGAAAAGCCAGGGGGAGCAAAACGGG
rnacentral:rRNA from 1 species